CCUUUUUGCAGCUCUGUAUGUAAAGCAGUGUAAAGCCCAGUGGAUGCAAUAAUUUGGAUGUCCCAAGCGCAUGGUGGGCAAGGGAAGCAACUGAGGGACCCACAGCAGCAAAUGACCAGCACAGUCCUGGUGACAGGCAGGCAGGAGCCCACUGGCGUCCUUGUAGAGAGAGGAGUGUGCGAUUGUGAUGGCCCUGGCACUUGAUCGUGUUCAGUCUCUGGGAGUUUCGCGAUUGUGAGUGAGGAGCUGUGCACCUGCAUCGCCUCUGAUCUGGGAGCUGUCCCGGGAGGGGUGGGGCGUCCUCUUACUGUAAAGACUCUUCCAGAUGUUGGGUGGAAAAGGCAGCUUGAGGCACCUACAGGCACAUCCGCCGUCACUUGGAGAGUGGUUGGAUCUUCCAUUACAGCUCUUAACACACAGGCAUGUGCGUUUUAUCAUUUUACACGGGUAAUCUGCUGUCUAUUAACAUUGUACUGUUUUGAGUAGCUUUUGGAUACAUUGUGGAGUGUAACUCAAGUUUGUGAAAUGCAGCAUUUGUAUGUAUUACUCCUUGGGAAUGUGGAGGAUGUGUGACUGCCACUAGCGUUAGUGGCAUCAGUCUUGCAGCGUCUCACGAUCUGGGGGUGGGAUUGCAGUAAUAAACAGGAAGUGGGGGGGGUGUGUGUUCUUGUUCUGCCUUUUUUUCAUUCUGCAGUGCCCCAGAUCGCUUAAAUUCCUGAUGCAUCAGAAGCAGUCUCCACUAGCCCAUGUAAUGUCUCGCUUACACAAUCCACAUAGUAACGUCCACAUACCAAAAAUGUUCUCUGCAAAAGAAGUGUAUGGAAAAGCCCAGCUUCUUCAGUUACAAAGGAUUCCUGGAAAAGGCGAGGCCUUCACAGAUAAGUCCCUUUCAGGAGUUUCCUGCCCGUUGUGCUUGAAUCUAGAAAAGUCGUUUCAGCUUCACGAAGACCAGACAAUCCUCUCAAGUGUGGGGGAAUCUCGGCUCUUGACCCCAGGAAUCGGCCAUCUUGUCUCUCUCCUAACCAGGCAGGCAAAGGAUCUUGAGGUGGUAAAAUGGGUAGUCUUGGUUUGGGGGGGACUGAACUCGGUUACUGUGCAGCUGUGCAAAUGUGCAGCAGCGCCGUCGGUUGUGCAAAUGUGCAACUGGAAAUGCCCGGGUGAGGGUGGUUGCGCAACUGUGCAGCGCGCGCUGUGUGAUCUGGAAGGGUAA
rnacentral:lncRNA from 1 species